rnacentral:rRNA from 1 species
UACAGAGGUCCCGAGCGUUGUUCGGAUUCACUGGGCGUAAAGGGUGCGUAGGUGGUGGGGUAAGUCUCGUGUGAAAGCUCGCAGCUUAACUGCGAAAAGUCACGGGAUACUAUUCCGCUGGAGGCUUGGAGGGGGGACUGGAAUACUUGGUGUAGCAGUGAAAUGCGUAGAUAUCAAGUGGAACACCAGUGGCGAAGGCGAGUCCCUGGACAAGACCUGACACUGAGGCACGAAAGCCAGGGGAGCAAACGGG